ACUUGUACCGACUGGAUGAGCAGCGAACGGGUGAGUAACGCGUGGGGAAUCUGCCUUUGAGCGGGGGACAACAUUUGGAAACGAAUGCUAAUACCGCAUAAAAACUUUAAACACAAGUUUUAAGUUUGAAAGAUGCAAUUGCAUCACUCAAAGAUGAUCCCGCGUUGUAUUAGCUAGUUGGUGAGGUAAAGGCUCACCAAGGCGAUGAUACAUAGCCGACCUGAGAGGGUGAUCGGCCACAUUGGGACUGAGACACGGCCCAAACUCCUACGGGAGGCAGCAGUAGGGAAUCUUCGGCAAUGGACGAAAGUCUGACCGAGCAACGCCGCGUGAGUGAAGAAGGUUUUCGGAUCGUAAAACUCUGUUGGUAGAGAAGAACGUUGGUGAGAGUGGAAAGCUCAUCAAGUGACGGUAACUACCCAGAAAGGGACGGCUAACUACGUGCCAGCAGCCGCGGUAAUACGUAGGUCCCGAGCGUUGUCCGGAUUUAUUGGGCGUAAAGCGAGCGCAGGUGGUUUAUUAAGUCUGGUGUAAAAGGCAGUGGCUCAACCAUUGUAUGCAUUGGAAACUGGUAGACUUGAGUGCAGGAGAGGAGAGUGGAAUUCCAUGUGGUAG
rnacentral:rRNA from 1 species